AGGAUCAUUAUCGAAAUUUGAGGAGGGAAGAUGGAGAGCUUAGGACUGUCGCUGGCUUUUCACUUGCAUGUGCACAUCCUUGCUUUUAUCUGUCGACCUUUCUCUCACUCUCGUUCACACACCUGUGCACCUAUUGUAGGUCCUUGCAAGAGGAUCUAUGUUUUUUUUUUUUUUUUCACAUCACAUCUCCAUCGUAUGUCUAUAGAAUGCUAUAAAUGGCGGUCGGAUCAGGCUUGUUCCUGUUUUGGCUGGUCAAUAAAAAUCAUAUACAACUUUCAGCAACGGAUCUCUUGGCUCUCGCAUCGAUGAAGAACGCAGCGAAUUGCGAUAAGUAAUGUGAAUUGCAGAUUUCCAGUGAAUCAUCGAAUCUUUGAACGCACCUUGCGCUCCUUGGUAUUCCGAGGAGCAUGCCUGUUUGAGUGUCUUUGAAUUCUCAACCAUGUCUUGAUCGAUUUCGAGACAUUGGCUUGGAGGUUGGGGGGUUGCUGGCGUUUGUCGUGUCAGCUCUCCUGAAAUGCAUUAGCAAUGGGUGGCUAGUCUUUUAUGUGCACAGCCUUUCGACGUGAUAAUGAUCGUCGUGGCUGAUGCGUUGAAUAGGACCCAUGCUUAUAAUAGUUGGAUCGCUCGUCUUGCAAGGAAGGCAUGUAUUCCCAAGCUUUAGUUACUAGUCGGUCGCAAGACUGGCGAACACAGAGNNNNNCAAGUCAUGCUUUUUCUGGACCUGUGGUUUCCUUCAAUCUCUGAC
rnacentral:rRNA from 1 species